UAGGGAAUCUUCCACAACGGGCGCAAGCCUGAUGGAGCAACACCGCGUGAGUGAAGAAGGGUUUCGGCUCGUAAAGCUCUGUUGUUAAAGAAGAACACGUAUGAGAGUAACUGUUCAUACGUUGACGGUAUUUAACCAGAAAGUCACGGCUAACUACGUGCCAG
rnacentral:rRNA from 1 species